rnacentral:lncRNA from 1 species
ACACACAGAGACACACCGCGACACACACACACACACGCGCGCAUACACACAGCCCGACACACACGCACGCGCGCUUCUUAAAGGAGACGGCUCAUAAAGGAUUCCCCACUACGCCAGCAGAGGGGAAGAGGAGCCCACGGGAAAGAAAAGCAGGCGAGGUUAAGAAUAAAGAGUGUUCCAGGUAUGACAGCUACCUCGGUGAGGUGGAAGAGAGAAUUGACAAGGCAAAUUUCAUGGGAUAGCACAGAAGCAGAGACUUUAAGUCUAAACAGACCUAGAUUCAGAGCCGACCCGAUGCUGCUUGAAGAAGGCUGGAGGUAUGUUAAGGAGACAAGGGCUGUCAAGAAGCAGGGAUGUCUCUGGAAAGGUUCCCCUUGCUGCUGCCAUGUGAAGAAGGACAUGUUUGCUUCCCCUUCUGCCAUCAUUGUAAGUUUCCUAAGGCCUCCCUACCCCUGAGGAACUGUGAGUAAAUUAAACCUCUUUCCUGGCUGGGCACGGUGGCUCAUGCCUGUAAUCCUAGUCCUUUGAGAGUCCUAGGUGGGCAGAUUGCCUGAGCUCAGGAGUUCGAGACCAGCCUGGGCAACAUGAUGAAACCCCAUCUACUAAAAAUACAAAAAGUUAGCCAGGUGUGAUGGCAUGCACCUGUAGCCCCAGCUACUCAGGAGGCUGAGCCAUGAAAAUUGCUCAAACCCAGGAGGCAGAGGUUGCUGUGAGCCGAGAUUGUGCCACUGUACUACAGCCUGGGCAACAGAGCAAGACUGUCUCAAAAAAAAAUAUCAUUUUUCUUUUAUAAAUUACCCAGUCUUCGGUAUGUCUUUAUUAACAGCAUGAGAAUGAACUAGUAGACGGUCCUUCCACUUAAUGCAGUUGGGGAUGUAAAACUAAUAUAAAGAAAUUGUCUAAGACCUCUCAAGAGUGUAACCAGGAUUUAUUGAGAGAAAGAUACACUGAGAGGUAACUUUUUUAAUCCCCUUUGAUUGAAAGAGAAAAGUUUUAGAAUCUGACAGAUUUCAAUUUGAAUCCUGGCUGUGAUAUUUAUUUGCUAUAUUAUAUUUCUGUUUGUUUAUACAUAAAAUAAGCAUAAUAUAAGGCUAUUUUUAAAGAAAUAAAUAACAUGUAAAUUAUAGCAUUAUAAUCCAUAAAUACUGCUCCCUCCCUUCUUCAGUCCUUCUUUCUGACCGUAAGUACAAUUAUAUUCAAACAAAGAAGAGCUGGGAGGUACAGACAAGGAAUAAUGAAUUACCAAAAACACCUUCAUAAAAACAGAACAAUUUGGAUUCUUCUUAAAAUACAAGUAGGCUUUUGAUUGAUAAAGGAGAGACUGACAACUCCAAUUCUGGGUGCAAGACAUUAAUAAAGACCUAAAAACAAAAUGUAGAAUAAGAAGCAGGUAUUUUUAGAAUAAAAAUCAGAAUAAGCAGGUUGUCUUCAGGGACUGUGAAAAGAGUCACAUAAAUGAAAUGAAACUGCAUAUUGAGGAAGAAUAGACAAUUAGUUUGAAAGCUAGGAAAGAGCUUUGUGCCAGCUACUAGGGGAAUCCGAGGUUGUUGUAGGCUCUUGAGUAGGGAAUGAUAAAUUAAAGAGGAAAUUAUGAGGUAAAAUGGAUUUGAAGAGGGACCUGCUGGAAGACUGAUGGUUUUCUAUGAUUAAAAUGAGGCAGCCUGAUUUUGUGUGAAGACAAUGGGAAAGGAAAAUCAAGGGAAAAUCUGAGAGAAAUCUCUCUCUCUCUCUCUCUCUCUCUCUCUCUCUCUGUGUGUGUGUGUGUGUGUGUGUGUGUGUGUUUGCGUGUAGGAUACAAGAGACGAAGAAAAGUGGGAAGGAUACAGAACAAUACAGCAGUAUAAUAGGGUAGUAUUAAUAUCAGAAAUAAAUACCAGAUCAUAGGUGACAUAGUAAAGCAUCAAAUGAAGAGUUAGGAUUUGACAGGCUGAGUUUGAAUUUGUAGGUCAGUAUGUUAUAUAUAAUUUUCUGGGUCUAUCUGUAUAUGCCCAUUUUGUUUGACACAUACUUAGGAAAUGCUUAAGGUUAGUUCUGAUGGGAUGACUCAAGUAAAAUGCCUUUCUCUCUUUCUGCAUGGUUCAAUUCCAUGUAUUUAUACGAAAUGCAAAUGUGGGCAAUGAAACCAAGGAGAGGUUUUCUGUAUGUUUCCGGGAAUGAGUGAAGUGCUGACUGAUAAUGGCAACAUUAUAGAGCAAUAAAUAAAACAACCCUCAGCAUAGAGCUGGAAAUGUGGACAGGAGAGGGGAGAUAUCUAAAGAUCCCAUGUCUUGACUUUGAUAUCUUCAUUGAAUUCAUGUAUUAACAAACCUCAAUAUAUCUUUGUAAACUAAUAAUUGCUUAUUGUGUAUUUUGUUGCUUUUUUUUUUCGGUAUGAAGGCCACAGUUGAACAAAAAGUUUAGCACAAUUUUUAAAACUGUAUUUUAUUAUUUCCCCUUUCUACUAUGUCAUUCACUUCUGUUUUCCUUGCCUCAGUAGUAGGCACUCCAUUAUAUUCAAUGAAUAUUCUUCCAAUUGUUCUUCCAACUAUUAUUUUAGAAAUAUGUGUACUUCAGAGAAAAGGUUGGGUGUACUUUUUAAAUGUUCUUGUUUAAAAAUAAGUUUCAUUAUGUAUAUUUAAGGUUUAUAACAUGAUGUUUGGAGUACGUAUGUAUAUACAGUAAAAAGAUUACUAUGGUGAAGCAAAUUAACAUAUCUAUCAUCUCACAUAGUUACUUGUUCCUUUUUGUUUCUGUGGCAAGAGCAGCUAAGAUCUGCUUAUUUAGCAUGAAUCCCAUAUAUGCUACAAUUUCAUUACCUAUAGUCCUCAAGUAGUACAUUAAAUCUCUGGAAUUGUUUGUCUUACAUAUCUGCUACUUUGUACCUCAGACCCAAAUCCAUUCCACCCUCUCCACUCCUGAUAACCACUGUUUUGCUCUCUGUGUAUCUAUUUUUAAUUUUUUAAAAGAUUGCAUAUAUCAGUGAAACAAUGCAAUAUCUCUCCUUCUGUCUCUGGGUUAUUUCACUUAGCAUAAUGUUCUCCAGCCCCAUCCAUGUUGUGGAAAAUGGCAAGAGCUCAGUCUUUUUUAAGGCUGAAUCGUAUUCCAUUCUAUAUACACACCACUGUUUCUUAUUUGUCCAUUGAUGGAUAUUUAAGUUGUUUCCAUAUUUUGGCUAUUGUGAAUAAUGCUGUUAUGAACACAGGAGUGCAGAUAACUUUAUGAGAUGGCAAUUUAAUUUCCUUUGAGUAUAUGCCCAGAAAAGAGAUUGCUGGGGCCAUGUAGUAGUUCUAUUUUAGAUUUAUUUAGAAAUUUCCAUAGCGUUUUACAUAAUAGCUGUACAAAUCUACAUUUUCACCAACAAUAUACAAGAGUUCCCUUUUCUUCACAUCCUGGCCAAUAUUUGUUAUUUUUUGAUCUUUUGAUAAUAGCCAUCUUACUGUGUGUCCUAAUUUUCAUAAUGAUAUUUUAUGGUGACUUUCAGUUUUAACCAUGAUAUGUAGACAACUUUAGAAGUUGUCACUUACAUCCUUACAGAAAAAUAAAGCUGGACAAACUAAAAAAUCAAUGACUUUUCUUGGAUGUAUCAGAAAACUGGGUUUUCAGGGCAAACCACCUCCCCCAAAUCUGUAUAGAUAGGGGAAUUAAUAAAAUCAUAGGAAAUAUCUGCUUUCCUAGAGAAGAAGGUGUUAUAGCUAAAAACUGGGAGGAAUAGGGCCGGGCACGGUGGCUUAUGCCUGUAAUCCCAGCACUUUGGGAGGCCGAGGCGGGCGGAUCACGAGGUCAGGAGAUCAAGACCAUCCUGGCUAACACGGUGAAACCCUUUCUCUACUAAAAAUACAAAAAAUAUAGCUGGGCGUGGUGGCAUGCAUAACAUGUCUACCCAAAGAUUAUUGAAUACUCUAAAAGUACACCAUUGUUAUUACAUUAUUUACCCUUUAUUGGGAUUCAGACUUUGUAAAGUUAUAUGUUCAGUGGUUGACUUCUCUUCAGUAAAAAAGAUAACUAAAAAGGUUUUCAUUGCCCAGAAAGAUGAUGAAUAAGUUUUCUCUUAGAAAACGUAUUUCAGCAUUUCUUUUGUUGAAUGUUUAUAUAUAAAACUCCAUUUAUUGAAUUUUUCUUUCAACAAGCUUUACUAUGUUGCUGUUUCUCUUAUUUGUGAGUUAAGACAUUUUUAACACAUGUUUACCAUAUAUUUGGGUUGUGUGUAUAAGAAUUAUAUUUUGAACUAAUUGAAAAUUACACUUUGAUGGCUGGGAUCACAAUGAUGAAGGUGAAAUGAGUGAAGAGUUAAUAGACCAAUGAUUAGAAAUAGGAUUACAGUUCUUGGUAAAAGCUUAUUGACCUCCCCACAAAAACAAACAAACAAACAACCUAAUAAGACCAGUUUAUAUCUGUCACUAGUCCGAGGAGAAGAUGACAUUAUUACCUUUACAGCAGAGACUAAUGUGGUCAUAUAAAUAAUGAAGUAUUUAAAGACUCCUCUCUACCAUAUAUACAUAUGCUAUCUUGAAAAUAAGCAUAGUGAAAAUCUCAGACUUAACAUUGGUAGAACAAUGAAAGUAGGUCUGGGUCAUCAGAAGAGACUGCUUAAAUUACUGGAAUGGAAUGAGUUAACUGAAGUGGACCAAAUUUAAUUUUCUUGAGUUAUCCAGCUGGGGAUGGUGGUGCUUAUGAUAAAUAUUAGAUUAGUUAUAGAAAAAUUAAAUCUUUGUUUAUUUGAACAGCUAAUGCUUUGGGAUAUAACAGAAAAACCAUAUGGAGAAACAAAGAUAAGUCUCAACUAAAGGGAAUAAAAAACAAGCUGUAGUGUAACCAUUAGUUAAUUCAAAUAAAAAUUAUUUAUUGAGCACAUACAUCAGGCAGGACAUUGUGCUUUUUGCUGUACAACAGAGAUUAAUGAGACCUCUAGCUUUCAACUAAGGAAAUCUAUUGUAGGAGAUGUUCAUGUAAACACAGAAAUUAAUAUGCAGUGCCUUGAUAGAAUUAUGUAUUAAGCAGAAAAUGAGGAGUGAUUAAUUUUGUCACAAUACAGUAAUAAGAAAAGCCUUCCUCAACACGGUGAGGUAUGAACUGAUUUUUAAAUAAUGACUAGGCAUAUUUUAGAAAAAUAGGGCACAGGGUAAGGAGAAAAUAUAAGACCAAGGGUGUCACCAAUACUCGAAUUUAUUCCCCAGUAACUAUUUCUCCUACAGGUCUUGGGUAAGUGUGAAAAGGAAAAAAGGGCUUUUUAUUCACAGCAUCUUAGACUUUUUAUAAAUUACUAGUGACUAGACUGUGGGGACCAGACAAUUGCACUGCUUAGGUCCAAGUCACACAGCAAGACUUUCACAGAGAGUUUAUAUGAUAUUACCUUUAAUAGAUUCACUCCAGUUCUGUCUCCUCCCCUAAUCCUGAGAACUGCCUCCAAUAAAGGACAAGAGGAAAAGUUCUCAAUAAAUAGCAGUUCCGAUUACUAUUAUAUUCCAUGAUUUUUGUCAUCACAGUGUUUAAAGUCAUACUUUGAACAUUACUAUUCAAAGUAUACUACAUACAUGUGUUAGUGUUGAUAGGUUACUAUAAAAAGUAGCAUUUGACAUUGUCAGAAUCCAUAUCCUAUACAACACCAACAGUGAAUCCUAAUAUAAACUAUAGACUUUGGAUGAUAGUGACAUGUCAAUGCAGGUUCGUUGAUUGUAACAAAUAUACCACUCUUAUCUGCGAUAUUUAGUUAUAUUUGGUUUGGGAUGCUGUAUGUGUGUGGAGUCAGGAGUUAUUCGGGAACUCUCUGUACUUUCCACUCAACUUUGUUGUGAACUUGAAACUGCUCUAAAAUAUAAAGUCUUGAAUAAACACAGAAGAAAAAAAAGGAAUAGAAGAAAACAUAAAAACAAAUGGUAGAUAUAUAUAAAACAAUUAAUGCUACCAAGAAAACAAAAUUGUAGAAAAUUAAAAUAAUGAGCAAUUAAAUGCAGGUAAUGAAUCUAUUCCACCUUCCUCCACCCCUCAGAUCCAGGUAAGAAGAAAAGCACCAGUAUGGGCUGGAAGAUCAUAUUUCUUCCAAAGAUCUCAUGCAGCCUUUCCACACGGGGUUAUAUACAGAGUGAAGAUAAUGCAAAGACGACAAAAAAGAGAGCUCUCUUUUUUAAUCAGUUUUCAGGUUUUUAAAACUAAAUACCUAAAGCUCCACCUCUAGCUCUGUGGCCUCAUGGCAUUUUUGAGCUUAAUGUAUAUGCUUACUCUUCAUAAUUAGGGUGAAAGAAAUGUGAAGUUACUAGAAUAAUAGCAUUUAGGAGACUGUUAGCUUCUCGAGUUGCUGCAAGACGCUCUUCACCAUCCACCCACAAAGCCUUAUGCAGGCUCCUAUUCUGGUGAGUCAGUUUGAACCAUGUAAAGUUGGGGAAUUUCUUCUGGCUUCUUUGACUCCUUUCCAAAGACCUUUAGCAUUCUAUAAUUUCUGUGGCAAGAAAGAUGAAAUACAAGUAAAAAGACAUUUUCUUUUCAAAGCCUAGAGCAACAAGCUAAAUACACCAGUUAAAUUCUCUUUUUCUCUGGGCCCUAUCCUAGAAUCUCUGGUCUUCCCAGGACAAAGUGCCCAACUAAGUAAAAGGCUAUUCAUCACAAACUCAUUGUGCCCACUAAUCACAUAGAAUUUUUAAUACAAAGAAGCAAUCUACAGAGGUAAGCCAUGGAAAAGUACCAGCCCCUUGAAUAUAACAGCUUUCAACCUCUUUGCCUCUCAUACCAGUGACUCCUCCCAGCCCUGUAAUCAGAUACUUGCUUCAGCCUGAUUAAUACCUUUGAGCUAAUGAAGAAUAAAGGAAAUGCUGCCCUGAGCCCUCAUUAGGCCACAGUUUGGAGUUGAUAGACUUAAAUUCUAUUGCUGUUUCCUCAAGAAGCAUCCUUGUCAUUUAAGCAUAUAGUUAUAUCAUUAUAAAUAAACUAAAUGUAUUUAAUCUAUUUAAUUGGAAAUUGUAAAUGUUUAUUAAGCCAUAAAUUUGCCUGAAGUUUACUGUGGCUCUAAGAAACAGCACAUAUAUAAAACAUAUGCCUUAUUAUUUGCAAUUUCAUUAAAUAGUUCUUAAAAUGUGUUAUGAGUCUGGGUAAUUUUGCAUAAUCUUAAUUUGCAGCAUUGUUCCUUCACAUUUUUUUCCAGUUAUUUUUCUGCAUAAGCCAAUAGGCCAAAAUAUUUUUCAAAAUAAAUUCUAGAAAUGAGAAUUUCUAAAAUCAUAAAGACUGUGGCAUUUUUUUCAUUUUGAUUGUAAUUAUCUGUUACUAUAGUAGAACAGAAGAGGUAACAUUGCAUAUAGAUUGCUUUAACUUUUAAUGAGCUUAUGUCUCAUCAACAUUUUAUUAACCUAGUAAACAUAAAAUAACGUCUUAGAUUAGUAUUUUUGAUGAUAACAAAAUCUAAAUUAUAAAGCAUAUCUAGAUGUAGUGGCAGAUGAGCUUUCUGAGCAUAUAUUCAUUAUUGAAAUUCAAGAAUAUUUCUCCCAAAAUAUUUUUUUGCAAAAUAAUGUAAUGCUGUAAUGUGUUUGAUGCCUCAAGCAAAGAAACAUAUUGCUUCAGAAAAACUAGAUUUUAUUUGGGUUUCAGCAGUCCUUAGAAUGCAUUGAUUUGUAUGCUGUUUAUGCUUCAAAAUCAGCCCAUGAACUUUAUUCCUCUGUAGUUGACAUCACUACUGGCACACUCUUCCUCUGUGCUUCUGUUCUCAUUGCAUAUAGAAAUGAAAGGGGUUGGAAAAAAAUGCUAGGAAGCAAAUUGUUGUUAGGAGAACAUGUAAUUUCUUUUAGCACUCUCUUUGCUAAGUUUAAAAUAAUAAAUAAUACGUCUUAGUUUUUCAUCUUCUCAGGGAAAUGUGUGGCUUUCAACAUUUUUCUCAAAGAAAUCUAAUUCAUGGCUUAGAAGAAGAAAAUCUCCCCUUCAAAUAUUUUCAUAUUUUAUUAUUUUUAUCUUAGAAAAUAGGACUAAUCAUUUUUUUACAAAAGUUUAGUGCUCAUCCAAUUUCAUGGGGUGAUUGGUUCAUAUCACAGAUGUAAAAAUGCAAGUGUUGGUUAUUUCAUCUUUUCUAAAAAUACAAACCACUGUAGGUCAGAGUAAUGGCAUUUGGCUUAUCUCUCCAACACAAAUAUAACUUGGGGACCACUGAUGCAUUUAAGGAUGGAGGUACCAAUUCCUUAUGUAAAACCCUAAAGUUAUUACUGACUUCUUUCUAUUGUAUUUCCUCUAAAUAAGUAUUACCAACAUUCACCAGAGUGCUAUUUUUUUAAAUUAAAAAGUACAGGUAUUACUUCUUAUGCUCCACACCUUUAAAGAUUAAUUCAUUUAUCAAAAAUCACGGUACUUAUGACUGAUAAUAAAGCCAUACCAAAUCAUGUUUUAUUUAUUGCAACUUAUUUUACUAACGAUUUCUAUGUAAUAGACUGGACAAAAACAUUAAUAAAUGUUAUGACAUCUCAUGUUUACUAAGUUAAUGACUGUGUAAUUGAUGAGAAUUUAGUCUGCAUACCGUGUUUGCACUAAUAAAACAAUGUAAUGAUUAUAAUAUAAUUAUAUAUAUUUUUAUUAGACACUUACUUUCUGCCAUUCAAUUAAAUGUUUUACCCUGCACAUUGUUGUAGAUAUUUUGAUUUCUUAGAACUCUUAAUUACUCCUCCCCCUUGCUAUGCUUUACUGUGGGUAGAAUAUACCUAUCUUCCUCACUGAUUCGGGCUUGGCCAUGUGACUGCUGUGGCUAAUUGAAUAUGAGAAGAUGUGACAUUAUGCCAAGUCCCAGCAGAGGCAUUAAAAAAUACAUUUGUUUUAUUUUUCUUCAUCUCCCCUUCUUCUGCUUUCUACCUUGAGAACACAUGUUCUGGAUAGUGACUACUCAUUAAGCUGGGGUUCUAGAGCGAGAAGACAAAUGAAGCCUAGCUGAGCCCAUUUGAAUUAAUCUGAGCAAACAGAAUUUUUUUUAGGUUAAGUCUCUGAUAUUUUGACUGCUUGGCGUGCUAAGUUAAAUAACAUAGAAAUUUAUACUAGAAAUUAAAUGAUGAUAUAAUAAAAAAAUCUAAAAAUAUAUGUCUCUAGAUUUGAACUUGAGACAGAGUAGAUGUGGGACUUGGCCCCACUCCCACUAAUGUAUUUUUUCAUGCAUACCCACUAACCAUCAGACCUUGCACCAUCAUCCCCAUACUCUCUGAGAUACUGCAAGUUAUUAGAAAGAUAGGAUAAACAACAUUCCAUCACAAAGCUUACCCAGGACAGUCGACCCUACCACCCACAUGCACACAAGAUGAGGAAUGUGACUGAUCAUAACCUUCCCCUAGGGGCAAGGUCCUGAUCCUUGCUCAGGGUGGAUCUUAUUUGUCAUUUUCUGAUCAUGCAGUGUAUGUGUUAGUAUGAUUUCUUACUGUGCCUGUGCACCUGGCACUCCACUCUGCACCUGUAACGAUGCUUGCUUACCUCAUAGGUUAUUCAUGUUAGGCUCCUGAAAACACCACAAGGACCUACCCUCCGGGAGCCAGCCAGAGAACCCUUCUUCCUGCACUGUCUCCGUUAUGCCCAACAUUUCUGGGCAUAAGUUUUAAUAAACCUUACCUGGGAAAAGUUUGUUUGGCCUCGUGUUAAUUGCUAUUAUAUGGAGAGCCAAGAAUCUCGAACCAGUAAGAGUUGUGAAGUCACCCUCAAUAUUUCCCAAGUCUUCAAAGGAAUUGAGACACUAUAAUCAUUACCCAGGACUCCACGCUUGUCAAAUUUGUUGAUGACCUCCUACUUUGCAACCAAACUGAAUAGAAUGCUUGUAUAGACUCCCUAAUCCUUCUGAAGGUACUGACUGAGCAAGGCUACAAAGCCUCCAAAUCUAAAUGUCCAUGGGUACAGACAACUGACUUAUUUAGGCCAUAAAGCAUCUCGGAGCACUAAAAAACUCACAGUAAAAUAUCUUGAAGGAAUUUUGACAAUCUUUUCUUAAGAAGAAAGAAAAAAAACCAGAAAUUUUUAGAGGCAGCUGGUUAUUGCCAUCAAUGGAUUCUUAAUUUUGCCAUCCUAGCCAAGCCUUUAUAUGUUUUCCUCUCAGGUAUAACCUCAGAACCCCUUUUAUGGCCCUCUGAGACACUGGCCUCCUUUGAAGCAUUAAAAUAAGCAUUAUCUACACCCCCAGCUCUCAGUUUAUCCAAUUUUGACAAACCUUUUCAACAAUAUUGCCAUGAAAUUAAUGAGAUUGUUGCUAGUAUUCUAGAACAGCCGUUUGUCUCUCAAUUACUUUUUAUGGCAUAUUUCUUAUUUCGAUCAACCCUGUGACAUCAGGCAUGCCUCCAUGCCUGUGUGCGAAAGCCACAGCUGCCACCCUAAUGGAAAAAGCCUUUAUUCUUACAUUAGGCCUCCCUACUCACCUCUAUGUUACCCUUGAUGUGUCAGCGCUCUUACAAGCUCAUAAAACACAGCACCCUCUUUAUACAAUGGCAGACCACUGAUGAACAGGACCUAUUAACAAUUCUCUCUCUAUUGUAUCAUUGUAACACCCUGAACCGUGCUAUUCUAUUACUCCUCCUUGAUGAUGGACAGCCCAUUCUAUUCUACGUGAUUCCUUUGUAGCUAUAUAAAUGGUCUCAAAACUAUGAUUUUUUAGACAUCUUCUUAGACAGUCCAGACUUCUGUUUUGUCAUGGCUGUCAAGCAGAAUUCUCACCGAUACAUAGUAACUGACUGUGCCAUGGUUUCCUUAAAUGAAACACUUGAGACAAAUUCUGCCUUCUAUAUAAUCAGCCUGAACCACUGAGUCUAGAUCUUACACGAGCCUUGGCAAAGAGAAAACUGACACUAUUUACACUUGAGAUGUGCUUUGGACUCUGCCAUACUGUUGGCUGUAUUGAAAAGUCCCGUUUCUGACCUCUGCUGGUACCCCUAUUGCCAAUGGCCAUGUAAUUGUUAACCUAUUACGCCUAUUCAUCUUCUAAUUGAGGUUGCUUUUGUUUAUUGUUGGCACAUGCCAAGGAGACUGACACUGUAUCUCUGGUAGACAAUACGUCUGACAAAGCUGCCAAACAUGAACCCCCAACUCUGGCAAUAACCCAUUUUUUAACCCAGCUUACAACCCUGCCUUUAACACUUACUGACGUCAAUAAUAUUUGGCAGAUACCCUACAAUGAAAAAAAAGGCUGCAAGAAGAUUCCAGACAAUUGUUAGAAGGAUUAUACGUUGGACCAAAUGGACUUCCUAUAGUCCUUUAUCUUUUAUUGUUUUGUGCUUCUAUUUAUUGCCCAUCAAAUGGAAUAUAUGUGUAAAGAAGGGCAAAUCAAAGAGGUAAAUGACAGUGAUUUUGCCCUGGAAUCCACAGAAUUUCUGAUCAAAUUAUUUACCAAUGUAUUACUUGUAAAUCUUAUGAUAUUUCUGGAUGUAAGUAGCAUACCCCAUGAAAUCCUCUGAGACCCACAUUCCCUUUGCAACACUCCUGGUGGACUUUAUAGAUUUCCCUCAGGAUUCAGGUUAUUCUCAUUAUAGGUUGACUAUACCUAAUCUGAAAAUCCAAAAUCUGAAAUGAUACAAAUCCAAAACGUUAUGAGUGUUGUCAUAAUGCUCAAUGGAAAUGCUCAUGAAAGCAUUUUUUAUUUAAGGUCUUUGGAUUAAGGAUGCUCAUCCAGUAAAUAUGAUACAGCUAUUCCAGUGUCCAAAACUAUCCCAAAUCUGAAACACUUCUGGUCCCACCCAAGCAUUUCAGAUAAGGAAUACUCAACUCAUAAUUGGUGAUUACCUGCACAGUUAGUAGAUGGACUGAGUACUAUCCAACUAGACAUGCUGAUGCCACAUGGUAGUAAUGAAAAAAAAAAUUGAGAUUAUUCUUCAUUUUGGCAUUACUUAAUGUAUUAAAUCAGACCAAGGAACUCACUUAACAACAGAAGUAAAUCACAUGUUCACAAAAACUCUAGGAUAGUCAUUAAAAUUCUAUACUCUUUACCAUCCUCAGUCCUCAGAGAGGUGGAAUGUGAUAAUUUAGACAGCAAAAGAACUAUAAAAUAUGUCAGUACAAUAGACCUAAGUGGCCAGAAGCAUCACCCCUGACCCCAAUAAAAUCUGGAAAACCCCAAACAAGAGAGAUGGAUUAACUGCUUUUUGAAUAAUUUUUGAUAGCUUUAUGCCUAUUAGCAUCUCCAAACUUUUUGUUCCUGAAGUGAGUGAGCAUUAUGGGGACCUGAGUGAAAGGUUCAGUAUUAUGACUAGAUAUCUAAAAGAACUAUCUCUUGUACUUGGAGCUUACCAUUAACAGGCAAAAAAGUCAUGGCCAUUGUCUACCAACAAGCUUUCUAUCCCUUUUGACCAAGCUAUCAAGUAUACAUCAAAAUUUUGACAAGAAAGCAUACACUGUCAUCUUUCUGGGAAGUACCUUGUGAAGCAUUGCUGAACACCUACAUGGCCAUCAAAAUAAAAAGAAAUAUUUCCUGGAUUCAUGCAAGUCAUGCCAAGCUAGACCCAGAUCAUAAUUUCCAGAAAAAUUGAAAAGCUAUUCUUACAGCUGACUUCAAACCAAGGAUUUUCAGGGCCAAUUCACAGGGUCCCAAAGCAGAUGACAACAUAAAGUGGACUAUUUUUUCCAAUAUCUUGGAUCAAGAACUACCUUUCCACCUAUUUUCCCUUGAUAUCUUUCUCUUCUCUGACCAAAGGAAAAAAAAGUAAAUAAAAACCUUAAAAACCUCUUUGAGCUUUAAACAGAAACCUUCCCCUUUAUUUAUUGAUGGACUGUCUAGAGAUUGCUACUUUUUUCUUCUUCUGUUUCUUCACAAUGAGAUAUUUUCUAAACUGUGUCUUGCUUCAACUAACCCUUAUGGCUUUUUUUGACAAUUCUAGCAUAAAUCCAGCACCUACUCGCGCCAGUCUUCUAAACACUGGCAACUUUCAUCAAUCCGAAUUUUGGUUAUGUCAACAUAUCGGUAUACAGAAGAAGCUAACUAGUUUUUGUUUCUGCCAAUGCAAACACCUGGUGGACACAGACUGGACUAUGGAUGUACAAAAGGGUAUGGUAUCUACAAACAGGAAGACAAAAAUCAUGCCACCUCUCUUUCUGGUAAACUGAUUUGGCGCUUGGAAAAUUCCAUGGAAGCUCAAGUUCUAUUCUUUGUUCAGGUGAUGUUAUUGAAUGGACAAAUUUCCCUUUUCAUUGGAAACAGAAAUGGUACUGGACCCUUUCUAGAGACACAUGUAAAUAGAGAAGCACAGAUCCAACAUAACUGGUGACAGAGGUUGUGAAAGACAUCAGAUCCCAACUUCGUGAGUCACAGUUUCCCCUCUGACCUUGUUCAUGAACAACACUAGUUUCUGCAUUUCAAGGGGCAAAAAAGUAUAUAUUAAUAAAGUGUUUCUACUUAAAUGCUGAGGGCAAUGUGAAUUUGUAUACCUGGCACCCUCCUUCACGGGGAAUUGUACGUUAAAUGCAAGCUAAAUUGCAAAUCUGAGCUCCUAUGUUCAUAAGAUAACACCACAUGGAUGUACUCAAUGAGACAUCAUAGAAAACCCACUUGUGUCUUACAGCUCCAACCUCUAUUUAGUGAUGAAGACCUUUUUUCCAAGUUUUGAAACAUAUGAUUUAGAAAGAAUGAUGGUAGAUAUUUCCAAAGUAAUACAACCAAUAUGCAAUAACACGUAAAGUCUCUAGGAGCACUCCAAUUGGGAGUUAAAGUUUAGCUUCUGAUGCGCUCCAAAAUUGUCCCAUUCUGGAUACACUGAAGUAUUCGGAAUGAGACAAUUUUGGAGCACAACAAAAGGUGGAACUUGAGCAAUUAUGGGAAAACAAUGCUGCUUUUAUGUAAAUCACACAGGAAAAAUUGUGUCAAAUUCACACCUUUGGGAAAAAAAGGUUAAUAUUCUUCAUCAAAUAAAUGAGGCAUAGUCUUUAACUAGGCUGACCUAUUCCCAAGAUGGGGAGACAGGUUCAGUGGGGUAUGGGGCAUUGUGCUUAGAUUUAUUAUUUUCUGCUUAUUCAUCCUUGUUCUAAUCUAUGUUCUUCUCUCCCUUUGCAGAUCUCUUGCCUCACAGCUUCUAACCCAAAUCUUAUUUCUACAGCAACCAACACAGCUUCUCGUUUGUAAAACUUCUCAAGAUGUUUCAAAAUGGAAGAAAUACCAAAACCCACAAAGAAUCCUUGAGUUGGUAUGGUUAUUUUUAGUUGAGGACAUUUGAGAUUCCACAGAUGCAGAAAAGAAUCUUCUCAGAGCUUCCUUCUUCUGAUUAAAAGCAGCCACUUCUGGGAAAUAAGGCUGGCAUAAAUCCUCUCUUGAGAGUGGCUUUACUCCCAGAAACAAGACCAAGGGUAAAUCUACCAUAAAUCCCCUCUCCAGGGGAGUUUGAUGGCCAUAAAGAAGAUGAAAAGAGUUCUCACACCUGCAUAAACAAAUGUUAUCACAAACUUUCUUAUCUCUUGUUUGUUCUCCCAAAAAACUAUUUGUCUUUCCUAAAGAAAUCCAUUUGUUUUCCUUAUAGAAGUCUUUUCUCCCGGCUUGCUUCUCCUAUUAAGUUAGAUAUAUAAACUUCUAAUUUAACUUUUAGGAAACUACUUCUUUUGUAAGCUCUUGUAUGCAAAUAAACUGUUUUAUUCUCUUGUUAAUGUGUAUUUUCACAGCAUAUCCUCCACCCAGAUCCUGAAUUUGAGAGGGUAGAGGAAAAGUUUUCCUCUCCAACACUUUCGUUCUCUGUCAAUGGCUUCACUGGAUUGCUAGUCUUCCUAUUAAAAGCGGCAAUUUAUUCUUCCAAAGUUAGUUUCUAAAUAAUAUUCCAUAGAAUUUUCUUUUUAAAUAACCAGGUAAUACCUACGUUGACAUCAAGAGAGCACCAUGGUCAGUAAUUUUAAUACCCCAGGAACAUACUUUUAAGUAUACAUUGUUUUUCAACCAAUAUUGGAAAGGGAAAGUUCCAAACCAUACUAAUUGGACCUACAUUGAACAUGGUAAAUUCCUCCUCAAAUAGUUGCUAAUGGUUUGCUGGGACAGUACUUCCCAUCUGUAAUAACUCUUAAAAUUAAAUUACUAAUAUCUUUGGAUUUCUGGAUCAUCUUUUACUUAAUAUCCAAAAAUAAAUUGUGAGGUUUUUUUAAAUGCCUGGGUAAAAUUCUGAAAUAGUAGUUUAUUUCAAUUUUGAUAGCUGCUGAGAUUCACACUAGCUUUUCUUCAGUCGACACAGUAAACAAUAAAACUUCAGCAAAACUGGAAAAUAUAAGAACCCCCAAUAUAUAGUCCCCCAAAGGAUCCAGCAGGUUAUAGAGUCCAAAGCCCUUAUUUUAUAAAUGAGUAAACUGAAGACAAAAGCACCAAUGUAGUUGCUUGAAGGUUAUAAAAUGGCAGGGAUACAUGUAUGUGUAUAUAUAUAUAUAUAUAUAGCUCCUUAAAAUGUAGACUUUUGAAAGAUCAGAGGAUUUGAAUAUGUUUACAUGUCAAGUGAUUUUCUAAAGCUUUGGCUACUGAAUUGGCUCUGAGUCAGCAUGGCCCUUUGCCAUAUCAAAUAAGAAAAAUCACAAACAGAUGACUAACUUACAUAAUGCAUUUCUUUUGGAGCGAGGUCCUUGGCAACAGGAAAGGGUAAUAGUGAUUUUAAACAUUGACUCUUCAGUGAAGAAGGUCACUGUGUGGUCAUGGAUGAGGAAAGUAAUAAGAUAAUGUUGAUGGCUUUUCUGACUUAGCAUGCCUACAAGAAAUCAGAAUUCUGGGUGAUGACACAGUCUGUCUAUCUUAAGUAAUCUUAACUGGGCAUCAGGCCAUCAAUCUUGAAAACAUAGGUUAAAGCUCUUUGAACAUUGAUUAUAACUAAGAGCAGCUGACUUUUUCACUGCACCAUAAACCUCUUAUGACUCUGACUCAUCAGAUGAUUUGGAAAAGGUGUACUCACUGACAAAGAAAAAGAGAAAAUAUAGAUGAGUUAAGUCACUUUAGUCCCAGAGGAGGACAACUGAGCAUUAAUAACAUUUUAGAAUUUAUUUUCUGCCUGGGGUCAAAUGACCAAUUUCAGACAGCAUUUCAAAUUCUUUUUUUCAGCAUGGCAGAGAAAAGUACAUCAGAGCCUCACCAGAGCCUGAAUACUUUCAACCCAGUUGAAUAGUUUAUGCAAUUAAUUAUGGCUUUUAAUAGAAAUGUAUUCACUUUUACCUUGAGAGGAUGAGAGGACAUCCUAGAAUAUGGGUGAAAGUCCUAUAACCAACACCUAUGUGAUAAAUGGAUUUACAUUAGGUAUUUAGUCCCUAACUUGGCAUUCUACCUCCUUCAUCACCAAAUUUUAUUUCUUCACCAGUACUCUUUCUCAAACCAUUACUCAAUGACAAUUCAGGCCAUAUAAACUCAAACUUUUGUGAUCUGCAUGUCUAUGCUUUAAGUUUCACUCUUUACCGUUCUGUCACUUUAAUAAAUAUUGAUAUAGCAUUCCCAACCCAAAUUGUACAUCCUUUGAAACUUUGACUAAAUGGGUAAUAAUUAUGACAAUAUUUAUAAUAAAUAAUUAUAAGAGCAUAUUAUCAGCAACUGUAUUCCACAAAACUGGAUUAUAAAGAAAAACUGAAAAAUUCCUGAAAACACAUAAAUUAGUGAAACUGGCUCAAAAAGAGAUAGAACAUCUCAACAGACCUAUACUAACUAAAGAGAUUGAAUCAAUAAUUAGAAACCUUCCAUCAAAGAAAAGCCCUGGACCAGAUGUGUUCACACGUGAAUUCUAACAAAGAGUUAAAGAAGAAUUAAUAUGCAUCUUUCUUAAACUUUUCCAAUAAAUGGAAGAGGAGGAAACAUUUUCUAAUUCAUUUUAUGAGGCCACCAUUACUUGGAUACCAAAGCGAGAUAAUAAAAUAACAAGAAAAUAAAAUUACAGACUAAUAUCUCUUACAAAUAUAAAUGCAAAUAUCUAUCCUCAAUAAAGUAUUAGCAAAUCUAAUCCAACAAUAUAUUCAAAGUAUUAUUCAGCUCAAUCAAGUGGGAUUAACAGAGAAAACCAAGGGUGCGUCAAUAUAGGAAAAUCAAUCCAUGUAAUACAUCACAUAAAUAGAAUAUAGGUAAAAAAGAAACACAUGAACAUUUCAAUAGAUGCAGAAGCAGUAUUUAACAAAAUUGAGGAGAAUUUCAUGAUAAAAACUCUCAGAAAACUUAGAAUAGAAUAAUUCAGCCAUAUGAUAAAGGGCUCUUAUGAAAAACACAUAGCAAAUAUAAUAUUCAGUGGUGAAAUGGAAGGCUUUACCCCUAAGAGUAGGAAGAAGACAAGAAUGCCCGCUUUCACCACGCUAUUAAGCAUGGUACUGGAAGGCCCUACCAGAGCUACUACAAAAGAAAAAAAAAAAGAGAGAGAGAAAAAGCAUUUAUGUUGAAAAAAAAAUCAGGUUAAAACCAUCUCUAUUUAUAGAUGUCAUGGUCUUAUACCUAGAAAAUCCCAAAGAACCUAGUAGAAAUCCCCAAUAGCUAAUAAAUGAAUUCAGCAACAUUGCAGUAUAAAAUUCAAUAAAGAAAAAUCAGUUGAGUGUUUAUAUGACAACAUGACCAACCAAACAGAAAAUUAAGAAAGCAAUUCUCUUUGCAAUAAAGUCUAAAGUAGUUAAAUACUGAGGAAUAGAUCUAACCAGGUAGGUGAAAUACUUGUAUUUUGAAAGUUAUGAAUAUUGCUGAAAGAAAUUAAAUAAGACAUGAGUAAUAAAGAUUUGUGUUUAUGGACAGGAAGACUUAACAUUAUUAAUGUGUUAAUGCCACAUAAAGUGAUCUACAGAUUCAAUGCAAUCCCUAUACAAAUUAUAACAGGCUUUUUCAUAGAAAUGGGAAAAAUGCCCUCAAAUUCAUAUGGAUUUUUAAGGGGCCCCAAAUAGUCAAUUAUAUAAAGAAGAAAAAUAAAGCUGGAGGACUCACAUUUCCUGACUUUGCAAUGUACCGUAAAGCCAUAGUACUUACAACAGUAUGGUGUUGGCAUAAAGACAAACAUGUAGACUAAUAAAAUGUAAUAGAAAGCACAAAAAUAACCCCUGCAUACUUAGUCAAAUUAUCUACAAGUAUGCCAAAACCACUCAAAGAAUGAAAGGACAAUCUUUUCAAUAAAAGGUGCUGGAAAAACUAUAUGUCCACAUACAAAAGAAUGAAUUUGGAUCCUUACCUUACAACAUAUACAAAAAUUAACUCAAAAUUAUCAAAAACUGUAAUAGCUGCAACUACAAAAGUCUUAGAGGAAAUCAUUGGGGAAAAUCUUCAUGACACUGGAUUUGGUAAUGAUUUCAUUGAUAUGAUACCAAACACACAGGUAAGAAAAAAAUACAGUAAAGUUGAACUUCAUCAAAAUUAAUAAUUUUUGUUUAUCAGAGGACACUAUCAAAAAAGUUAAAAGAUUCUGGUUGCUAAUAUUUUGUUGAGGAAUUUUGCAUCUAUGUUCAUCAGGAUUAUUGGCCUGAAGUUUUCUUUUUUUCAUUGUGUCUCUGUCAGAUUUUGGUAUCAAGAUGAUGCUGGCUUUGCAGAAUGAGCUAUGGAGGAGUCCUCCUCCUCAAUUUUUUUUGAAUAAUUUCAGUAGGAUUGGCACUAGUUUUUCUUUGCACAUCUGGUAGAAUUUGGCUGUAAGUCCAUCUGGUCAAGGGCUGUUUUGGUUUGUAGGAUUUUUUAAAUUACUGAUUCAGUUUAAGAACUUGUUAUUGGUCUGUUUAGGUUUCUACAUUCAUCUCGGUUCAAUGUUUCCAAGAAUGUAUCCAUUUCCUCUAGAUAUUUGACUUUGUGUGCAUAAAGGUGUUCAUAAAUGUCUCUGAAGAUCUUUUGUGUUUCUGUGGGAUGGAUUAUAAUGCAUAUUCUCAUAUAUAAGUGAGAGCUAAACAUAGAGUACACAUAAACAUAAAGAUGGGGACACUGGGGAAUAAUAGAGGGGGAAGAGAGGGAGAGGAACAAAGAUGAAAAACUACCUAUGGGGUACUAUGCUCACUACCUGGGCAAGGGGUUCAAUCAUAGCCCAAGCCUCAGCAUCACACAAUAUACCUUUAUAACAAACCUGCACUUAUACACCCUGUUUCUAAAAUAGAAGUUGGACAAGAAAAAAUGAUGCGCAGUAUAAAUUAUUUAAAUGUUUUGCAGAAAGUUUAUACAAUUUAUUUCCUACUAGUUUACUGUGAUUUUUUUAGAUACCAUGAUUGCUAUGAAUGAUGGUAACUUAUAAGGUGGUCACAGGAAUGGAAGUGGAUAAAAGGUGAUGAAAUUGAGACAUGGAAGCCAAAACCAAAAGGAUCAUAUAUUGAUGUGGUUUUGGGAGGUUAAGAGAUGACAAGAUUGAUUCUGGCUUCUGCUACUGGGAAAAUGUUUGUUUUCUGGUUUGUUUAUAGAGAACAAGAGAGAAAAAUAAAAAUAAAAAAACAAGGAUAUGCCCCCCCUUAAAAAGUUAAAAAAGUUAAAAGAAAACCUGUAGAAUGAGAUAAAGUAUUUAGAAAUUAAGUAAGUGAUACAAGAUUAAUAUCUAGGACAUAUAAAACGCACUUAAAACUCAACAAUAAUGACAAUAACAAGAAAAAAAGUUCAAAAAGGCCAAAGCACUUGAGCAAACACUUCUUUAAAGAUACACAAAUGGACAAUAAGCACUUGAAAAGAUGCUCAACCUCGUUAGUUAUUAGGGAAAUGCAAAUCAAAACCAAAUAAGAUACCACUUCAUACCUACUAAGAGGGCAACUACAAAAACCCCUGAAAAAUAACAAGUGUUGGUGAGGAUGUGAAAAAAUUGACACCCUCUUGCAUUGCUGGUUGGAAUGUUAAAUGGUGCAGCCACUGUGGGAAACAGUUCAGCACGUUCUAAAAAAUGUUAAAAAUAUAAUAAUCAUAUGACCCAGAAAUUUCACUACUAGGUAUGUAUCCAAAGCAAUUCCACUAUUAGGUAUGUAUCCAAAGUAAUUGAAGCAGGGAAGAGAAACCCAUACAGCAAUGUCCUUAGCAGCAUUAUUCAUAAUAGCCAAAAGGUGGAAACAACUCAAGUGUCCAUUAACAGAUAAUAAAUAAGCAAAAUGUGGCAUAAAGACACAAUGGAAUACUAUUCAGCCAUAUAAAGAAUUCUUUUCCUACUUUAUUGAAAUAUAGUUGGCAGUUAAAAAUGUUAUAUAUACACACACACAUAUAUAUAGAGAGUACAACUAGAUGAUUUAGUGUAUGAAUGUAAUAUAUGAAUACAUUCCGAAAUGUUAUCACAAUGAACUAAAUUAACAUAUAUAACCUCACAUAUUUACUUUUUUGUUAUGAAAACAAGAUUUAUCUUCUUAGUAAAUUUCAAGUACACAAUAGAAUACUAUUAACUAUAGUCACAUUGUUGUACAUUAGAUCUUCAGAACUUACUUAUCUCACAUAACUAAAACUUUGUACCCCUUGAUCAAUAUCUCCCCAUAUCCCUUUCCUCCAGCCCCUGGUAACUACCAUUCUAAUUUUUGUUUUAUGGGUUUGACUUUUUCAGAUUCCACAUGUGAGCUUAUGCUGCAUUUGUCUUUCUGUGUCAGGCUUGUUUCACUUAGCAUAAUACCCUCCAGUUGUAUGCAUGUUGUCAUAAAAGGCAUGAUUUCUUUCUUUUCUAAAACUGAAUAAUAUUUCAAUGUGUCUGUAUAUGAGUAUUUACAGAAAUGUAAUUAUUUUUGUAUUUUGAUUUUAUAACUUGCAAUUUUACUAAAGGUGUAUCAGUUCUAACAGUUUUUAAAAAAUAUUUACAGUUUUCUACAUAUAUGAUUAUGUCAUCAACAAAUAGAAAUGAUUUUUUAUUUGGAUGCCAUUUAUUUCUUUUUCUUGUCUAAACGCUUUGGCUAGGUCUUUCAGUGCUAUUUUCAAAAGAAGUGAAUAGAGUGGAAAUCUUUACCUUGGGCCAUAUCUUAGAGGAACAACUUUUGUGUGUUCCCCAUUAAUUAUGAUGCUAGCUGUGGGCUUUUCAUAUAUGGCUUUUAUUGUGCCUUCUAAAACUAUAGACAGUCCUCCAUAUCCCUGGGUUGCACAUCUCUGGAUUCAACCAUGGAGAGAAAACAUAUAAUUUGUGGGAUGCAAAAUUUGCAGAUUUGAAAGGGCGAUGUUUGUAUCCGCAGUUCUGCAAGUGCCGACCGUGAGACUUGAGAAACCAUGGAUUUUUAUAUCCACAGAAGGUCCUAAAACCAAUUCCCCUCAGAUACUAAGGGACAGUUGUAUUUUGCUAAUUGUUUUAAUCAUGAAUGGAUGUUGAAUUUCAUCAAAUGUGUUUCCUGCAUCUAUUGAGAUAGCCAUUUUUUAAAAAUUUUAUUAAUGUUUUAUAUCACACUGAUCGAUUUUUGUAUGUUGAACAAUCCUUGAAUUCCAGGGAUAAGUCCCACUUGGUCAUGGUGUGUGAUGCUCUGAAUUUAGCAGAAUUUGGUUUGCUUGUAUAUUAUUUAGUACUUUUAUUUUAUGUUUAUUAGAAAUAUAUUGUGGUUUUCUUUUCUUGUAAUGUUUGUCUUAUUUUGGUAUGAGGGUGAUUCUGAACUCAUAAGUUUGGAAGUUUUUGAUCAUUUCCUAUUUUUGGGAAAAAUUUAAGAAGGUUUGGUGUUAAUUCCUCUUUGAUGUUUGUUAGAAUUCAUCUAUAAAGCCAUCUAGUCUUGGGUUUUUAUUUGUUAGGAGAUACUUGACUAUUGCUUUAAUCUUCUUAAUUUUUUUAUCUGUUCCUGCUUUUUAUUUCAUCUUGAUUUUAUUUUGUUAGGUUAUAUAGCCCUAGGAAUUUAUUCAUUUAUUCUAAGUUAUGCAACUUGUUGGGAUAUGAUUAUUCAUAAUAUUCCUUUAUGAUCAUUUUUAUUCCUGAGACAUAGAUUGUAGUGUCUUCUCUUUCAUGUCUGGAUUUUAUUAUCUGAGUCCUCUCUCAUUUUCUCUUAGUCUAACAAAGGGCUUAUUUUUUCUAAACACCAGCUCUGGAAUUGUUUCUUCUUUUCUAUUUUCAUAAAAUCUCUAUUGUACUUAUUUGUGAUCUACUCUUGAUUGUUUCCUUUCCCCCACCCCCCCAUGACAUUAGGUUAGUUUGUUGUUAUUUUUCUAGUUAUUUGUGAUGUUAAGUUAAAGUGUUUAUUUGAGGUCUUUUUUCUUUUAUAAAGUAAGUGUUUAUCACUGUAAACUUUUCUCAUAUUACUCUUGUACUUUUAUUACUGCUUUUGCUUUAUCUCAUAGGUUUUGGUAUGUUGUAUUGUCAUUUUUAAUUCUAUUUUGAUUUCCUCUUUGACCCAAUGAUUGUUCAAACUAUGUGUUUAGUUUACAAGUAUUUGUGAAUUUUCCAGUUUUCUUCCUGUUAUUCGUUUUAAGUUUCAUUCUAUUGUGGUCAAGAAAAAAUACUUGGAAUGAUUUCAAUAUCCUUAAAUUUGUUAAGGUUUAUUUUGUGACCUUAUAAGUGAUCUAUACUGGGGAAUAUUCCAUGUGUUCUUGAGAAGAAUGUGUAUUCUUAUGCUGUUUGUUGGAAAGUUCUGUUUGAGUGUGUUAGUUCCAUUGGUCUACACAUUGUAGAAGUCUGUUGUAUCUUUCUUGGUUUUUUGUCUAAAUGUUCUAUUCAUUAUUGUAAGUGGAAUAUCAAAAGUCCCCUGCUGUUAUUAUAUUGCUGUCAAUUUCUGUCAUCAGAUCUGUUAAUAUUUUCUUCACAUAUUUGCAUGCUUUGAUAUUGGGGGCAUAUAUAUUUAUGAUUGUUGUAUCUCCCUGUUGAAUUAAUCUUUUAUCACUAUAUAAUGUUUUUCUUUGUCUUUAGAGACAGGUUUAGAAUUAAACUAUAUUUUAUCUGAUAUAAGUGUAGUCACACCUGCUUUCUUUUCAUUAUCUAUUGCAUGGAAUAUAUUUUUCUAUUCCUUCACUUGCAGCCUAUGUGUGUCUUUAAGUCUAAAGUGAGCCUAUUGUACACAUAUCUGUGAAUUUUUUUUCUGUAUAACCCCUCUAGGCCUUUUGAUUGGAGAGUUUAGUUCAUUUUCAUGUAAGGUGAUUAUUGGUAAGUUUGGCCUUACUAUUGCCAUUUUGUUCAUUCUUUUCGAUCUAUUUUUCAUUUGUUUCUCUAUUCUUUUUCUUCUCUUGCUGUCUUAUUUUGUUAUUUAAUAAUUAUUUAACAUUUUACUUUGAUUAUUUUCUCUUUAUCUUUUGUAUAUCUAUUACAGAUUUUUCUUUGUGGUUGGCUUAAUGUUUGUAUACUGUAUCUUAUUCUGAGAUACUAUAAGUUGUAUCUUAUAGUUAAGCCUUCUAUUUUAAGUUGGUAACAACUUAACCUCAGUUAAGAAUGAAGUUAAAACUACAGUUUUACUUUCUCCUUCAGCUUUGUGUUAUUGUAGUCAUGAUUUGCUUUUAUUAAUAUUGUGUAUGCAUUAAAAAAUUCUCAUCUUUUAACUUCUAUAUUAGAAUUAAAAUAAAUUAUGCAUCACCAUUAAUGCGUAAGAAUGAGCUGUAUAUGGUUAUAUAGUUACCUUCCCCAGUAAAAUUUAUGCUUUCAUAUGCUUUUGUAUUGUUGUUUAGUAUGGGUUUAUUUCAAUUUGAAGAAUUUAUUUAAGCAUGUCUUGUAAAGCAUGUUUAGCAGUGUUGAACUCCCUCAGUUUUAGCUUGGGAAAGUUUUUAUCUCUCCUUUCUUUCUGAAGGACAUAUUUCCUGAUAUUCUCGAAUGGCAAUUUUUUAUUUCAGUACUCUGAAUAUGUCAUCUUAUUUUCUGCUGGUUUGUGAGGUUUCUGUUGAGAAAUCUACCAACAGUCUUAUAGAGAUUCUCUUAUAUGUGAUGUUAUGCUUUUUUAGUCCCUUUCAACAUUUCCUUUUUGUCCUUGACUUUAGACAAGUUGGCCAUAAUGUAUCUCUGAAGAUCACUUGAUGUUCAGCUUAUUUGGGGUUUAUGGGCAUAAUGGAUUUGGAUGCCUGUUUCUCUGCACACUUUGAGGAAUUUUCCAUCAUUUAAAAAAAAUUAGUUUUGGCUCCUUUCUUUUUCUCCACUCUUUCUGGGAAUUUCAUUUAUAUGUAAAUUGUUUCACUUAAUGGUAUCCCAUAAGUUAUAUAGGCUUUCUUCACUUAUUUUCAUUUUUUUCUUCUUUUCAUUCCUCUAACUGGAUAAUUUUAAGAGAUCUCUCUUCAAGUUAACUGAUUCUUUCAUCUGCAUGACUGAGUUUUCUGUUGGGGCUCUCUAUUGAAAUUUUCUGCUCCAGAAUUUCUGUGUCUUUUAAAAUUGUUUCUUAUUAUAUAACUUCUAAUUUUGUUCAUGCAUUGUUUCCCUGAUUUUGUUUAGUUGAUUUUCUUUAUUCUCUUGUAGCUCACUGAGCUUUCCUAAUAUUUUUUUGAAUUCUUGGUCAGGGAAUUGAUAAAGCUCCAUUUUUGGGGUGGUCAGUUACUAAAAAAUUAUUGUGUUUCUUUGGUGGUGUCGUGUUUUUUUACUUUUUUUGUUUAUUAUAACCUUGCAUUGAUGUCUUCCUAUUUUAGGGAAUAGUCACCUCUUCCUCACUUUACAUACUUCUCUCUGUGUGUGUGUGUGUGUGUGUGUGUGUGUGUGUGUUGGAAGCUAUUCACCUAUUGGUGGGUACAAGGGCACUGGCUAAAAAGUGUGUGGUAGCCUAGUUUCCAUGCAGCUCCAUCAGCUGAGGUCAGUGUCAGCAUAGACUCAGGGAGAUCUCAUUAGCCAAGGCUGUGGGCAUUCUUUUACUCUCCUGACAUAGCUAGGAAUUUUGAGGUCCUUAAUGGUGAAGGCUGUUGCAGUUCUCUUGUUUUAUUUUACCUCCACAGGGUGAAUUUAUGGCUGAGGGAAUUCAUUAUGGUGCUGGUUCCAGCAUUUGAGUGUGCUUUUGGUGGCAGUGAUGCCAGUGUGUGAGGCACAAAAUUGCCCAGAAUGGUUGCAGAAUUAGGGUCGGAAGCAUGAGCAUUAACAGAGUGACCAUGGCCAGAGACUAUGGUGUGGGCUUGCCACCUGUGGUGCUCCUGUCAGAUGUGGGCAUACAUAGAGUGGGUGCAGAGACAGGAUCCUAAACACAGAAGGGAGUAGAGUAACAGCAAUGCUGGAGUUUGAAUGUGCAUGUUUUUGCAGGGGGAUAGACGAGUGGGUGCUGGUUCUGGCCCAGGGUGGUGAAGUGUUUCCACAGCAACUUUGAUGGCUACUGAGCUCCUCAGCAGCAACAACUGCUAGAGUCUUCCUGCAGGCCACUGGGGACCAUAGUAUCACUUGCUGCAUGGCUGAAACUGUUUGGCCCUGCCCUUUUUCUUUGUUUUCAGCUUCUCCAGACAUCUCAUCUAUAUUGAUCUUUCUGGUAGUCUGGUUGGUAUACAACCAAAAUGGACCCUUCAAGCAGUGACCCAAAAGGCCAGGGCAGCUAGUCAUUUGCCCUACUUUCUUUUUCACCAUGAGGGAAAAUCAUGGGCUGAGAGUUUCUUUUCGAGGCUGAACUGUCCCAGGCUGGAGGAUAGGACGAUGCAGGCAAAAAAACUCUUUCCCCUAUUUUUUCUGUGUAGUUAUUUUUUUUCCUUCAAUGUGUUGCUGCAGCUUUUUAUCUGAACUGAACUCAUCCAGAUCUAUUUUCAUCCAAAGAUAGCUGUCUAAUUGUUGUUUCUACGGGGAGACAAAGGUUGGGGUAGCCUACUUCACCACAUUGCUAAUGUCAUGGAAAGAAUACAAUUUUGAUAUAAGCUUCAACAUGGAUAAACCUUGAAAGAAUUUUGCUUAGUAAAAUAAGCCAGAUACAGAAGAUAAAUAUUGUAUGGUUCCAUGUUUGUCAGAUACUUAGAAUAAACAAAUUCAUAGAAACAGAAGGGAGACUAUAAAUUACUAAGGGUUGAAGGGGUUGUUGAGGGGAGAAGGGAGAGUUAUUGUUUAACGGGUACAGAGUUAUUGUUUAAUGGGUACAGGGUUUAUACACCAAACCAUUCUAGUGAAUACAUUAAAAAUCAGAAAAGGAAUAUACACACCUAAAACACUUAUCAAUACCAGACUAUAAAUUACUAAGAUGAAAUUGAGAGCUAUUGGUGAGUUGGGGAUGAUAAAACAUUUGGGGGUAUAGAUAAUAGUGUGGGUUGACAGCAUUGUGAAUAAAUUUAAUGCAACUAAAUUGUAUAUUUACAAAUGGCUAAAAUUACAUCAUGUUUUAUAUAUAUUUUUCCACAAUAACAAUGCGAUUUAUCAGUUUCAUAAAUAUUUGGAAAAAAUAAUAGGGGAUACUCAUACCUCAAUGAAUAAUUGUAGAUGGUGUCAAGGUUUAUUUCUAUUUUGUUCUUACCUUCAGGGAUCUUCAGUCAAGUGAGGAAGAUAGUCAUAUGUUUAAAAAAUGGCUUUUUUCCUGAACCUUGUUAAUUCCAGAUAAUUCUACUAUCAUAUCAAUAUUUCUGUCUUUUCAUGCUAUAUCUUCCCUGCUUUAUCUAGCAGACAGUUGAAACAAGGAAAUGAGGGCUUGUAGUAUUUGUGUAUUAGACUCUUAAGUUAAUCCCUAUUUUGACUACCUUUCCCCCUUCAAAUCUUAAAUAGGAUAUAAUGACUGAUCUUAGGAAUAUACUAUAGAGGAUCUUAUCUUAUCUUAUCACAUCUAAUGAAAACUGAUAGCACUGAAAAAAUAUUUAACUACAUAUUGUACCCAAAGUUAAAAUGUCUUAUACUGUCAGAUAAAUAGUUCAAAAAGGGCUAUAGUCAUAUUUUAAUUAGUAAUUUUCCUGUCAACUAUAAAAUAUCACUGUCAUUAUUCAGAAAAUUGUCUCAUAGUAACAAAAUCUAUAAUUUCAUAGUAAUACUUUCACUUGACAGUCACAUUCAUUUUCUCUUUCUCUAAGGGAUAGUAUUACAGGCUUUGAAAGUUAAACAUAAAACUAUCUUUAUGUUUUGUGAACACUAACAUAAAAACUAUUCUAAUAAGAUAGCUUGUGAAUAUAUAAGCUGUGUUUAUAUACUGUGCCAUCACUAUAUGUUUACAUGUUUAUAAAAUCUUUUCAUUUAUAAUGACAUAUUAUGUUCUAGAGAUCAUUAUAGACCAUUUAAGAAGAUAUCUUGUAGGUAUUACAAGCUUCAAAAUAACACAAAAGUACAUUUCAUUUUUUGGCAAAACACAGCAUUUUCAUGAUAAAAUAUCUUAUAAUGCAUACAUAAAAAAUAGAGAAAUACACUGCAUUUUUGAGUGAGUAAACAAGAGAAGAUAUAUGUGCCAUUGGCAAAGAGUGUUCUGUUUAAGUUUGGUUUAUUAUACACAAUGAAUUAGUAUUUUUUAGCUUCCAUAUGCUAUGCCUUAUUUUAAUGUUCAUAAUAUGAUCUUGAGGAAGAGAAAAUAUGCUGAAUGCCUACUGAAUUGCUACAUAAAAAUUAGAUUUGCUUCAGUGUAAUGUUAUCGAUAAUUAUAUUAUUGUACAAACAUUAUAUGUCUUCUGAACUCCUGUGAGAACUCAUCAAUACCUCUCAUUUGCAUCUUAGUAAUUUAUAGUCUGGUAUUGAUAAGUGUUUUAGGUGUGUAUAUUCCUUGUCUGAUUUUUAAUGUAUUCACUAGAAUGGUUUUGUGUACAUGGUGCUGACUACACAUAGUUAAUCAAUAAGUAGCUGUUGAUUUGAAUUCACCUUCUAACUCUAAUCACCAGAAUACCUACAGGAAAGCUCCAUUCCCCAGGCAUGUAAGAAAAUAUCAAGGUUACAUUAAUUUUGAAAGUGCUAAUCUGGAAUUGAUUUUCAGUUAAUGAGGAAAUGUUUUAUUUCUCUAGGCUUUCUAAAGUAUUGGAUGUUUUAAAUUUGUUUAAUCUACGUAUUUGUAUGUGCAUAGUUGAUAAUUUCUUUAUUUUUAAUAAACAUGGGCUAUAGAUUUUUCCCACUAGAAGUAAGCUACAUUAUAACAGUAAAUAUCUUUUUCAUUUUCACUGUUAUAUAUCCAGCACCUUUAGCAGGAACAAGUAGAUGCUCAAUAAUAUUAGCUAAAUGGAAGACUUAAGAAUAUAUAUUCAGAGUAUAAUUUCAUGCUUUCUGUUUAAAAAAAUAAGUCAGAGAUAUAUUUCAUGACAAUACUGAAAUAACUUCACUAAGAAAUGUAGAACACCGGACAUCCAGACAAAUUCAUGCACACAAACACACACACUAUUUUAAAGAAAUAAAGAAAAAUUUUUAGAUAGUGACAUAUAUCCUUAAGUAAAUAUGUAAUUAGUAGAGGCUUCUAUCAAAAUUCCAAUGCAAUUUUUUCAGGAAUUGAUCACAUUUUUGUAAAGCUCACGGGGAAUUUUCUGACUCAAGAUCACUGUUUUUUUACAUCUCCUUUCAUCCUAGAUCUCAUUAAAAUAGUAGAAUAAGUAUUUUUAAAAAUAAGCAUAAAACAUAGAAACAUUGGAAGGAUAAGAAUAAGCUAGAAGGAGAAUGGAAUACUGAAGAAUUUCAGAUAAAUAUGAUUUGCAUAAAUUAAUAGCAAAACUCAUUAGAACUGAGGAAUUAAUUCUACACAGGCAAAAAGGCAGACAUCUAAAACAACAAAAAUUUCCCAAAAGAAUUUUGGAAUCACAAGAUCAAGUCAAGCAAGUAUCAGAGAAGGACUGGGCCAUUUGUCAAGGACGAGAUUAGACCAACCAUUGCUUGACAAUCUGAGAGAAUAACUUGGGCAUUGCUCACCUAGUAGCUAAAAUAGUAUGGUGGUGGUUAAAAACACUGACUUGGGAGUCAAACUACGGGAUUAAGUACCACAUCUUCCACUUGUUAUCUAUGUAAACUUGGGCAAAUUUUAUAAUCUAGCAAAUUUCAAUUUAUCCAUUGGUAUAUAAGAGAUAAUUGUUCAUAUGGAGUUGUGAGUAUUAAAAAUGUUAAUAAAUGGAAAGUACUUAGAAUGGCACCUGAAAUAUAUUAAGUGCAGUAUUAGUGUUUGCUCUUGUUAUUUUUUUAAUGGGAUUUGAGUUUAAACUACAAGUAUGGCUCUCUGCAGUGAGAAUUUUAACAUAGGCUAUACCUAGAUUGGUCACUUGGGAAAGAAAAACACAAUAGAAUACCAAGUAAUUUAGGACUGCCAAGAGGGAAAGGAUUUUCUAUCACCCGGCCGGGCCCGGUGGCUCAUGCCUGUAAUUCCAGCACUUUAGGAGGCUGAGGUGGGCGGAUCACGAGGUCAGGAGAUCGAGACCAUCCUAGCUAACAUGGUGAAACCCCAUCUCUACUAAAAAUACAAAAAAUUAGCCGGCUGCGGUGGCCAGCGCCUGUAGUCCCAGCUACUUGGGAGGCUGAGGCAGGAGAAUGGCCUGAACCCGGGAGGCGGAGCUUGCAGUGAGCCAAGAUUGUGCCACUGCACUCCAGCCUAGGCAAUAGAGCGAGACUUCGUCUCAAAAAAAAAAAAAAAAAAAAAAAAAUACACCCCCCACACACCUCGCCCCAGUUGCACAAUGUGCACCCUCAUUAUUAGGAGCAAGCUUUCUGUAGCAAAUACCUGAACUUCACUAAAUGGUGAAUAAAAAUUCUUCCUCAUUCAAAUUCUCAUCCAUACAUGCCAGAGAUAAAUACUACUCUGCUUAUAUGACAAAUUACAUAUAUAAUAAAUAAUUAAAAAUAAGCAUUUUAUUCUGCCUAGCACAAAGAAACUGAAAUAGCAAACAGAAAAUUAGCCCACCCAAAGAAAUAAAAAGAGAAAACAGAAUUAUUUUAAUUGACUACUGAGAAAACGAACCCCACCAAAUAUUAAUUUAGAAAAAAGAAGUGAAUAGCAGAUUUGACUCAAUUAAAGUUAAAAUAAGUGAGAUAAAAGAAAGGACUUAAUUUUUUUAUAAUCACCAGAGAAAAAGUAUACAGAAAAGGUAUGUGAUAUAAUGGCUAGUUCAAGAAUUCCAACUAUUCGUUAGUAUAAUAACAAAAUAACAGAAUUGAGAGAAUGGGCAGAGAAAAUCAUCAGUCUAAUAGAAGGACAUUUUCCAAAAUAAAAGCUCCAGUCUUUGGAAAAAAGUUAUUGUUUGACAUUCAGGAUUAACACAAGAAAAAAAAGUUUGACAUUCAGGAUUAACACAAGAAAAAAAAUUCUGCAAGAAGUCAUAUCCUAGUAACAGCAAAACUAAGAAUUUGAACAAAACAAAAAUCAUAAAAGCUUUUUCAGGGAAGGGGUGUGUUUACCUUCUAAAGGCAAUGGUCAGUAAACUACAACUACAGAUAAUGGGCUACAUAUUUCUGUUAAUAAAAUUUCACUAGGACACAGACACACCCAUGAAUUUACUUAUUGUCUGUGGCUGUUUUUGCACUACAAAGGCAGAAUUGAGAACUUGUAACAGAGACCAUUUAACCACCCCUAAAAAUUCAAACCUAGUGUAUUUACUACCUGACGCUGAAGAAAAGUUUACCUACGGGGUUCUGAGGAAAGAUGAAUUAUGAGCUGCAAGACUAGGUGCAAGAAGAUAAUGAAAGAAGGCCUUUCAAGUUCUACAGAAAGUUUUGAAACUAGUGCACAAUAAAUACAACAUAAGUUGGAGAUAAACCAAGAAAAAUUGACAAAGCCAUAAUAAACUUGAGUGAUAUUAAUAAAUAGGUCCCUGAAACUAAAGGAAAUCAGGGAAAAUAGGUCAGUCUUCUCUAUUAGAUUCACUUCUGACAGAGGCCUUUGGUACAAUUGUCUCUGAUUACUCCUUGCAAACUACUGAUAUUUUGAGAAUGAGAUAUUGUGAAGAACUUCAGCCAUCUGACCCAAGUCUAUUGAUUCUCUCUCCCUUUUUGUCAAUCCCUAUUUUCAGGGCAUCUGAAUUUUUCUUCUGUCUCCAUUGUUAUGCUUAGCAAAUUUCCCCAAACGACUGGAUUUCUAUGAUGGCCUCAUGAUGAUUUUACUUCUACAUAUAUAUAAUCUAUUCUGCUCACCCAAGAACAGAUUCCCUUUGUUUCUUAAAUAUUAUUUGAACUCAAGUGGGUUGGAAAUACCUAUAGUACUCUAAGAACUCACACUUAGUUCCUUCUUGAGAAAAUAUUACUGUUUCAAUUUUCUUGGUCUCUGCUCUUUUCCUUGCACUCCUUUCUCCACUCAGCCUUGUCCCUCAUUGACACUCAGCACACUAAAAGGCUGACGUCCCCACAUAUUUUGAUCUCAUGUCAAUCCUCUGAUGGGUGCCAAUCUUAAUGGAAGUAUAUGAGGGAAAGGCAGGGAGGCACCACAUACUGAUUAACUAUGCUUUUUGAAUAAAAAUCUAUCACUUUGGAAAGCUUAACUUACACCAUUAAAAAUCAAUUAAAUGAACUUUUGAGUUGUGAAAUUUAAUUUUCUCUUACUAUAUACUGUUUCCUAAAAUUUUGUUUGUAAAAAUUAGAUCCUAUAUAAAAAUUGAGUCAAUUAGAUUGAAAGCUGGCUUCAAGAUGAUAAAGAAAACAUAGUAAUAAAUUUGGAGUCUUAAUUUGCAGAUCUAGCAAAUCUGUGGUCUGUUUUUCCUUGGCCUCUUCAUUAAUAUUUUACUGUAUGAAAUUGAAGUGAAUUAUCACAUACCAUAGGCAAUAUUGAAAUAGGAGGUGUUUCAAGCAGUGUAAAUGAGAGGAAAAUAAUUACAGAACAUUAAGUAUAAGGCAAAAAGUCUAAAAAUAAAAAACUAUCAAAUUGAGUAAAUCACCAUUAAUGAUUGUUUUGAAAAGAUUAUAAAAGUAAGCACCACUGAAAACCUUGGGUUUACCCAUGGCUUGCAGAUAUGUGAAUUAUGAGAUUUAUUAUAAUUAGAGCAAUUUAUUAUAAUAUCAACUAUGUGCUGGACUUUAUCUACUAUAUGCCUUAUCCUAUGUGUUCCUUAUAACAACCCUAGGUAAAAUCUUUUUAAAUCUCUAUUUUACCAACAACAUCAAACAACUAGAUAAAGAUGAAACCAGAAAUUUAAUUUUAAUGGUCUGAACCCAGAGUCCACAUUUUUAACCACUAUUUACAUACCUAUUAUUAGCUCAUAUUAUAUGCAUCAUGGUUAAUCCUUCUAUGAAGGGAAACAAGUUUCACACCUGAUUUGCUGCAAUAGAUUAUAGGCGUUGCUAUGGACUGAAACUUUUUGUCACCCUGAAAUGCAUACAUUGAAAUUCCAGCCCCCAUUGUGAUAAAAUUAGGAGGUGAAGCUUUUUACCAAUAAUUAGCUUAUGAGGAUGGAAUCCUUAUGAAUGGGAUUAUAAAAGGUAUCCCAAGAGCCAGGCAACGUAGCUUGUGCCUAUAAUCUCAGCUACUUGGGAGCUUAAGGUGGGAGGAUUCCUUAAGCCCAGGAAUUCUAGGCUGCAGUGAGCUAUGAUCAUGCCACUGCUCUCCAGCUUGGGGUGGCAAAGUGAGACUCUGUCUUGAAAAAAAAACAAAAAAAAACCCAAAACAGCAACAACAACAACUGUAGAGAGUUUUCAACCCCUCUUUUCCUCUUUUUACCAUAUGAGAUCUUAUAGCAAGAAGUUGUCAGUGUGCAAUCUGGAAGGAGGCCCUCACCAGAACUUGGCCUUGCUGUUUACUGAUCUUGGACUUUGAGUCUCCAGAACUGUGAGAAAUACUAAGUUGGUGCAAACGUAAUUGUGGUUUUUGCAUCAACCUAAUAAAAAACUGCAAUUAUGUUUGCAGAAACCUAAUAUAUUUCUGUUGUUUAUAAGCCACUCAGUCUAUGGUACUCUGUUAUAUAAGCCCAAACUGACUAAGACAGGUGUACAACAAGAUGUUGAACUUCUCAACUUUCAGGAAAACUUGAAGGGUUUUCAGUUUGUCAGAAUUCCUGGAAAUGUGUCUGUCAAUGAGAAGUACCCCAUAGAUAGCAGAGCACCGCACAGGCAGAUGAACACUCCAUGAUCUUCACAGACAGUGAGCAGAACAGGUACUUGCUGAUACUCAUUAAUAUCCUGGGCUUGGCCAAGAAAAUGCUCUAUUACCUGGAUAGCUACUCAACAAUUGUAAUAGAUUCAGAAUUCACUACUGCCCAUUACCCACAAGGAACUGGUGAUGCUGCUGAAGGGGGUUGGGUUUCAGGGAUCUGUAGAGCAUAACAAACAGGCAAACUGUCUCAUGAUACACAUGACUAUGGGUGGCACCUCCAAACUCUAUCGUUGAAUAUUGUAGUGGAUAGAAAAUGGUGGCAGUCUGUGCUCUCUCCUCUUGAAUCUGGGUGAAUUUGUGACUGUUUCAUCAACAGAAUGAAACAGAAGUGAUGCCUAGUGUCUGAGCCCAGGUAAUAAAAAACUAGCAGUCUCCACUUUCCUGUCUUUUGGAAUUGUAGCUCUUGGAACCCAGUCAUCAUUGUGAGAGAAGCCUGAGGAUCUCUAUGAAGAUGACUACAUAGAUGUAAACUAAGGCCCCUGGCUGACAGCACCUGGAUGAGCUUCCAGCCAGCAGCCAGUAUUAAGGUGUCAGCCAUGUAAAUGGUCUUCUUGAAAAUGGAUCCUUUAGUUGCACUUAAGCUAUUGUAGCUGAUACCACUGGGGUGGGGCUGAGGGGAGGGGAAUAAGCCAUCCUUGCUGAACCCUACCCAAAUUGCAAGUUUGCGAGAAAACUAAAUUAAUAUUAUUGCUUUAAGUUGUAAAAUUAAGGGUGGCUUUUUAUGUAGCAAUAGAAAACUGGAACUAAUAGUGCUAUUUGAACUCACCCCAGAGUUAAUUUCUCAGAAAGUAUACAAAACUUUGCAAAUAAAGGCUUCAUUUUACUGUGAAAUCAUUUAUAUGAAAAAUUCAGUUACAUUUAAAAUACAUUCACAUUAUAACAGUACAUUUAAUAUUUAUUAAUAAAAUAAGUUAUUCAACUGUAAAUAUAAUUCAAUUGAACAAUUUUGCAUGGUUCUAAAAUGCUUUGUAUGUCUUUCCUUCUUCUUUUCUUUUUUUGACAAAGUCUUGCUCUGUCACCAGGCUGGAGUGCAGUGGUGUGAUCUUGGCUCACUGCAACCUCCGCUUCCCAGGUUCAAGUGAUUCUCCUGCCUCAGCCUCCCGAGUAGCUGAGUCUACAGGCACAUGCCACCACUCCCAGCUAAUUUGUGUAUUUUUAGUAGAGAUGGGGUUUUACCAUGUUCUCCAGGAUGGUCUCAAUCUCUUGACCUUGUGAUCUGCCCGCUUUGGCCUCCCAAAGUGCUGGGAUUACAGGCAUGAGCCUCCACGCCCGGCCAAUGCUUUAUAUUUCUUAUGCACUUAUGCAGAGUUACAUAUUGCUGACAACUAACAAUAUUUUGAAAGGAUUAUUAUAAACAUGUAAGCAAACUUAAGACCUGAUGUUUUAAAAACCUCCAAAAUGUUAUGUUCAUGGAUCAAGCUCAAGCUGCUCAUGAAACUAUUUGGAAGUAUUAUACAAACUAAUACAGUAUUUUACCCAAGACUUGAAUUGUAUUUUUCUAAUAAAUAUAUAAUAUAAAGAUUACAUUUUGCCGAGCUCCACAUAAAUACCCACAAAUUGCCCCAUGUUUAAUCUCAUGUGCCAUACAUGAAAAAGUUUACAAAUUUCUGAUGUAAAUAAUGUUGUUCUCAUUUUAAAGCUUAGGAAACACACAUAGAAAAUCUAAGUACAUCACUUCAAAUCACACAAAUGGUAGGUUGUAAAAAGAGUUUGAACACAAUCAGUCUGUUUAAAUUUCAAGCCCAUGCUCUUUCUAGUACGUUUUUUGUUUUCUGAAUAAUUUAGCUUUGAGAAAAUCGGUUGACCCUUAUGUUACAGUAAUGUUUAAUAAUAUGAGUAUACAACUAGUUUUGAGCUGCUCAUGCAUCAAAAUUAAAAAUGAUAAUAAUAUAAACAUUUUAUCUUGUUGAGCCUAGAUUUAGUCAGUAUCUUUGUAGAUUUAGCAAUACCCUGCUUCACAUUGACCUGAUACUCAUUAGGCAGGGGAGGAUUUGCCUCUAGUAUAGUUUUGAUCAAAGCCAGUCACAAAGACAUUCAACCCAGGGAUGUAAGGUAAAUCCGCAAGGUAAUGCCUCCAAAUUUACACUGUUAAACCCUGGAUUGAAACAGCUUUUGUGUGAGCUUUGUUAACCUUAACAAAUAGCAUUUAUUCUGAGUACGCAACAGGAAAAAAAAAAAAGCAGCCCUUUGUGCAUGUAAUUCUGUUACAUUCUCUACUUGCAAAUUGAUUAUAUUCUCCUGCAUAGCAACACAAAAAUCAUAUUUUAUAUUGUCUUGUUCUUGAAAAUAUCAACUAAUUAUGAGAGUCAGUGUAGUAGCUAUAUUAAUUAAAACAAACCUAUUAUUUUAAAACAUCUAAUCACUUUCACACAGUUUUGGAAAUGAGAUAUCUUUCUAGAUUUAUUCCCUUUCAUUACUCCAAUUUAGGAUUACUGGUUGUUGGUGAUGGUAGCAGUGUUCAUGAUUCAUGGUGAUAGUUGCAGUGUGGCUGUGUAUUUGCGAUUCUGUAUAUGUGUGUAUGUUUCUGCUCUCCAAUUUAAUUUACCUGUCAUUUUGUUGUAUCUAUAUUUUCACUACAUCACAAAUAAGAUCUUAGUGAAUAAUAAGCAACAAUACAUGUUGACGAAUGAUUUGCAGAAGAGCAGGAUGAAGGGUGGGGAAUGUAUUAUGGAUUAAGCCUGUGGGUUUCUAUAGCUUAGUAGAAACUAGUUGUCAAAGUCACUACCUCUACAAGGACUUCUCUUGAGAAGGGCCAAAAAACAGAGCAUCUUUCGCCAAGAGGUGAAAUUUGAAUGGGAGAGGCCCUUACUCCUCUCGUUCUGACUUAACAAGUCUUUUUAUAAGACCAAAAAAAUGUUGAACCUAACUUACAAAAAUCCAUUGUUUUUUUUUUUUCGAGACGGAGUCUCACUCUGUUGCCCAGGAUGGAGUGCAGCGGCGAGAUCUCGGCUCACUGCAAGCUCUGCCUCCCGGGUUCACGCCAUUCUCCUGCCUCAGCCUUCUGAGUAGCUGGGACUACAGGCGCCCGCCACCACGCCCGGCUAAUUUUAUGUAUUUUUAGUAGAGACAGGGUUUCACCAUCUCUAUCUCCUGACCUCUUGAUCUGCCCGCCUCCGCCUCCCAAAGUGCUGGGAUUACAGGCGUGAGCCACAGCGCCCGGCCCAAAAAUCCAUUCUUAAUGGCUUUCUCUUCUGAUGCAAAAUCCUGAUUGCCUUCAAAUAUUACUAUUAGAUAGAAAUCUCCCCACCUUUAGCUGAAAGAGAUAAGGAGGUUUUGCACUGAGGAAACAAACAAACAAACAAGCAAACAACAUUCAUCAAUUUUUAAAAAAAGUAUGUAUUGAACUAUAGUCAGGUUCAAUGAGGAAAUGCAUUACAUUGUCACUAAACUGGCCUUAGUUGGAGAAAGAACACUGGCAGAUUAAUUAAAGUUAUUAGCGCUUAUGGUAGGAAACUGCAUGAUAUAUGUGAAAGAUCUUUUAGGGACUGGAAACACAGUGUAAAUUCAAACUCCUCCCAAAACUUUAACAAGGCUGGAUGAAAUGAAAGGAAUACUGUGAUUUCUACAAUUGACAACAGUGUCAGGCAUGCAGGAAACAAACAAAACCUUUUGAUGAAGGAAAAGUAACUUCUGGACAAAGUAUAAUUGGUUACAGGUAAACAGAUAUGUCAUCCAGGCAGAUAUGACAGUUUAUAGGAAAAAUAUAAUGUUAUGAUCUAAAAAAUGCAAGCCACAAACCUAUUGCCUGGGCAAUAAUUAGCCUGAAGUUGGGCUACUAAGGAGCUGGCUAAGCAGCAGUGAUAACACCAGAUACUGGAAGAAACUUCUGUGAUCAGAAACCAAUACAACUAGUGAACAAUUCACAGUAUUUCUAAAUCCGGGCACCAAGGAAGUUGUUUGGUUAGUCAUGAUGGAAGCCAGGAACAAAUAGAUCUCAAAUGUGUGAUAAUAAUUAUCAAGCGGAAUGUCUAGAAUAUUAUAGUGAGUGCCAAGAUUUCCAUCUAAGACAUUACCAACAUAGCAACUGAGGCAUGAAUUACAGGUUUUACACAAAAAAAGCAUUAUAAGAAUAAUACAUAUAAUAUAUUAACAGUUCAAAAGUGAAACAAACAUUUAUGAAUGGGCUACUCAGAUUUAAAAUAAAAUAUUGCCUGUUCAUUGAAUGCUUUCUGGAUUUUACUUUCUAAUUGUAUACCUCUCUUUCUUUCUUAAGAUAACUACUAUCAUAUAUUUGUUUUGGACUGCAUGUUAAUAAAAUUAUAUAAUAUGUAUUUUAUUAACUUCAUAAUAAAAAUACUUUUUAAAAUAAUAUAUUGAGAUUAAUCCCUGGUGGAUUGUGCAACUGUAUUUCAUUCAUUUUCACUGCUUUGCAUUCAAUUCAAUCCAUGUACAGCGUACCCAUCUGUUUUACUGUCAAUUGAUAUUUUUUUCUAGAUUUUUAAAAUGACAAAGCAGCAAUGAACAUUGCAACUUUAAAAUUUUUGGACCUGUUUCCUGGUUCACAUGUGUUAAGAGUUUCUUCAGAGUGUGUACCUUGAAGUGGAAUUAUUGGAUUGUUUUGUUUUUGCAUGUGAAACUUUAUUACAUAUUGCCAAAAGACUUUCAAAAAUAAUAGUGCCAACUUGCAGUUUAAGAAGCCCCAUGUGAAGAGACUUACUGCAUGUACAUACAACAUUUGGUGUUCUCAAACCUUUUAAUUUUUACUGUUCUAGAAAAUAUUCCUUUUUAAAAUUGUAUAUUUCUUUGAUUUUUUAAUAAUGAUAUUUGCUAUCCUUUUAAUAGGGUUUUUUUUGGCCAUUAUUUGUUAUUCUUCUCUGAAUUGACUUCUUAUAUAUUUUGUUCAUUUUUCUUCUUUUUUUUUUUCUUGAGAUGGCG